rnacentral:lncRNA from 1 species
UGGCAGCCUCUACCUCCUGGGCUCAAGUGAUCCUACUGUCUCAGCCUCUUGAGUAGCUGGGACUACAGAUGCAUGCCACCAUACCUGGCUAAUUUUUUAUUUUUUGUAGAGAUGGGGUCUUGCUAUGUUGCCCAGAAUGGUCUGAAAGUUUUGACCUCAAGUGCCUCAGCCUCCCAAAAGUGCUGGGAUUACGGACAUGAGCCACUGCACCAGACCUGCUGGGAAUUUUAAAAUCACCUUAUUAUAUAUUGGGUCUCUCUAAAUUUUGGUGACUCAUGGAAAAGCUCAUAUAGCAAGCUUAGAGUCUACUCUUCCCAGUGUAAGUUUGCACCAAGAUCUGGAAGGAGGUAAAGGUUAAGACAUUGGCGCCAACUAGGUGUAUUUGCUAAAUAGGAAUCCGAUGCACAGGCUGUCACGUCAGUGUCUGAGACUCCCUGAGAAACUCAGGAAAUGCGUGGGUGCAUAUUCAUAGUCAGAGACAUCUGAGGGAGGUUAGGAAGGGAAGUGAAGUUUGCAAGUUCAGAGGCCUCCUUCUCUACUUGGAGGAAGCCCAAUCCUCCAUGAAAUGUAGAGUAAAUGGAAGGCUGACUUUUGGAAAGUAGGGUGCACUAUCCAGUUCUGGCCCAUUUAUAUACCCAUAAUACGUACAUAAAUCUGAGCGUGUGUGAUAGGACCCUAUUUAUGAAUGAAUUCUGUGUUUUUUCUUUUCUUUCUUUCUUUUUUUUUUUCUAGAAACAGAGUCCAGCUCUGUCAUCCAGUCUGGAGUGCAGUGGUGCGAUUAUAGCUCACUGCAGCCUUGAACUCCUGUGCUCAAGUGAUCUUCCUGCCUCAGCUCCAGAGCAGCUGAGACCACAGGCAUGCACCACCAUGCGCUGUUAGUUUUUUUUUUUUUUUUUUUUUUUUGCAGAGAUGGAGUCCUGCUAUGGUGCCUAGGCUGGAUAUCCUGUGUCUUUUUCUUUUUCUUUUUUUUUUUUUGGUUUUUUUUUUCAUGGUUUUUUUUUUUUUUUGAGACGGAGUCUUACCCUGUCGCCCAGGCUGAAGUACAGUGGCGUGAUCUCAGCUCACUGCAACCUCCGCCUCCUGGGUUCAACCGAUUCUUGUGCCUCAGCCUCCUAAAUAGACUAGCUGGGACUAUAGGCAUGUGCCACCACACCCGGCUAAUUUUCCAUAUUUUUAGUAGAGAUGGGGUUUUACCAUGUUAGCCAGGAUAGUCUUGAUCUCCUGACCUCAUGAUCUGCCCGCCUCAGCCUCCCAAAGUGCUGGGAUUACAGGCAUAAGCCACCACGCCCAGCCUGUCCUGUGUCUUUUUCAUCUCUGCAUUCUCUCCCUCUCUCUUUG